GACGACCUACACUUGUAGGAUUUAAACUCAACUAACUUGUAAUGUACCUAUUACAAGCCACUUUGCAAGCACCCUAUUGCAAAGACUUCAAAACUAACUUGUGAUGCACCACCACAAGCCACUCUAUAACUCUUCUAGUUACAGAGGAUUUAACUUAUAACUAUCCCUAGUCACAACAUAAACUCUAAAGUUUACAAAUUUGGUUUGUUCCUAAUACAACAUUUCUAAGAAAGCAACCUAGGAAUUACAAUGUAGAACAAUAAACAAGAUUACAACUUAACUAUGGACGUAUAUAAGACUUGGUUAGAAACUAAUCCUAGUGGAGUUGUCUUCUUGCUCUUGACACACCAGUGACCUCAAUGCAGGAUGAAUGCCUUUUCUUCUUUUUGCAAUAUCACUAAAUGCACACAAAAUAGUGUGUGUUGCACUAGGUUGUUUUAACACAAUAGAUAGUGAUGUAACUCUUGGUGUACUUAUUCCCAGUGAUAAGUGACUGCUGCACUAUUUGCACAGCCACUUCUAGGUAGUUGCGUUCCAGCUGGAUAGUGGACUUUGUACUUCUUUCAGGACUCACCAACGGAUCAGGUCCUGGUUGUGUACCUUUUCUAUAACAGUUUCUCGAUGGUCACUUUCUUCUGCUAUGUUCCAACUGUGCAUUUGACCUGUACUUCUAUGAGAGAACCCCAAGGGAGCAGGUCCAUGUUUUUGUGUCUCUUUAUAUUAGUUGUGUGCAGUCAUUGACUUAUUCUUUUGUCGGAGAACUCUAAGGGACCAAAGGAUCGGUUCCCUGUUGUGGUCCUCCAUGCGGUCGUUCAUCCAUAAGUUAAUUUUCAGAAUUCAAACAGUUCAUGAGAUGUGUAUUCGGUGGGACAAGUUUCUCUAUCUGGUUCUUCAUAACAAGUUUGUUAGAUCAUCAAAACAUAAGAAGCAUAAGGCUAAGACAUAUGAAAACCUACGAAUCACCCCAAUGUUGUUUACAAUAAUUGUUACAAACCAAUGAAUUAAAUACAAAUACAUAAAUAAAUAGGAGUUAAUCUAUAAGGAGCCUACAGUAGUCCCAAAUGACUUCCCAAGCCUCCAAUAGCCUCAAAUACCAAAGUUCCACAGCCAAUUUCGUGUCUAGGUGCGUCGGAGUUCCCUAAGGACCUUAAGGAUCCCAGGUAGUGCUCACACCUAGACCUUUUCUCAAUAAUAACUAAUUUAGGUGCAGUGUGAAAAAGGCAGCUCUCACAUGCUAGAGUUCAGAGAGAUCUCAAGGAUCUCAAGGCAGUACACAUAUCAGAUGGGCGGAACCUAGUAUUCUAAGAGUAAGUGGAAGUGCAUAACAAUUGAAAGAGUUCAAUAGAAAGGUCUUAAGACCAAAAAGAACUUUGAAAACCAUUAGUGCUAAAAAAGUUUGAGGAAAAAUGUGAAGAAAUCAAUUGGCAAUCAGAACCAAGUCAUAAAACUAGUUUCAGGAACAACUUUCACAUAAAGGGGGAGGGAUUGGGAACUUAGGGGGUAUAUUUUAAUGGAGUAUAUAAACAACAAGACUUAGGGAGUUUUGAGGGGGUUCUACAUAUGCAGCAAAGAUCACAACAGAAACAUACAUCACACAGCUAGAAUUACUUUAAUGGUAUUGAUUGUCUUAGUAGGAAUGAAACAGAACAGGCAAGGACUUAAAAGAGCAUGUUGGGUGAGUAUUAACAAUGGAGACAUGCUAAUUAUAUAGAAACAGAGUCUAGGCAAGACAGUAGUUAGGCCAAACAUAUGCAGACAUGCUAAACAAGACAACAGACAAGCAAGUAAAGUGGAAACAUACUAAUCAUAGGUUUGAAUGGGUAAUAUUAGAUGUGCUUGCAUAAGCAGUAAACAGAAACAUGAACAGACUUAAGCCAUAUGAACUAAAGGAGUAAGUAAACACAAAGGUUUCAUUUUUAUAAACUAAUCAGAAGUAUACCCAGUUAAAGAAUGAAAAAAAGCACAACAUGUGAGAAAGGUAGUGUGCAACUUCCAGCCUUGGCUUGCAGCCGGCUAGAAUGGCAAAGAUCACAAGUAGCAAAAAGAGUAGAAAGAGAUUCUUUUAGAGUGUAAAAGAGUAGUGGUUUUGAAAUAUUGUUCGUUUUUUAGAAGUUAAAAUAAAAAGAGGUUUAUAUAGUAAAAAAGCUUAACAAAUAAGGUAAGAGAUCAAUUAAGUAGCAAAUCAGGGAAGUUUGUAGAAUCAAUCAGCAAGUCCUUCCCUUAAUCAAAGGAUAAUCAAAUCAACAGUAAAAGCAAGCUAAAUAUUUAAGGAAAAGAAUCAAGUAAGGUUUGGGUAUAGAGUAGGUAAUUAGGGGUAAAUGAGCAGAAGUUUCAAUUAAGGAAACAAUCAACAAGAAUCAGCAAAUUACAAACAAGCAAGGAAAAAUUAAUUAAGGCAGGCAAUUCAAUCAAAUCGAGUAGAGAGGUAAGAAUCGAAAGUUUAAGGGAAAGUAUUCAAAUUAAACAAGGAAAUAAGGAAUCAGAAGAAUUAAGGGUUCAAUCAAAGAGAAAGUCACGAAAGAGUCAGCAAGUUUAGCAUAUAAAAAGAAAGCAAGACAUGAAUAGUUCGGAUUCGACACAUAACUUUAACAAAAUAAAAAGUUAAACGACAAAGAUUCAAGGAGAAUGAUACAGGUCUUAACAUGAACAGUCGGGAUGAACACAAGCAUAUAAAAUAGUGAAGGGGUUGAAUUAAGAAAUUCAGUAGAAGCAUAUAGGGAAAGAAAAUCACGAGAAAUCACAAGAACCCAAAGAAAGAAUACAAUUAGAUUUACCAAUAACUAGAAACCAAACGAAGAACCCCCCAAAAAAUAGGGCUUUUAGUACAAGCGAACAUAGGUUGUAGUAGACUUACAAAAUCAGUCAAAUCAUAUGAGAAUCAUAAGUUUAAACACAAAAAUCAUCAAACAUUUUGUAAAAGAAAUUCCGGAAACCCUAGUUUAGACAAAGAUGAAAAUCACUUAAAAAUCAUAAGAUUCUUGUAAGAACCUCAAGGUUGUUGUAAAACUCACAUGAAAAAAGCCCAAAUCAUCUCAGGUCUGUACAGAUCUUAGAGGUUUAGAAAAAGAAAUUGGGGUUUCGAAGAGAAUAGCACAAAGGUAAAGAAACACGCUUAGAAACCAUAGAUCGUAGCCAAUAUAGGACGAUGGAAUCUCACCAGAAUGGCCUGAAACAGGCGAGAAAGUUACCAUACAUGCAAGUAAAUUAGCCUUGGUCCCUUGAGGACCUUGGAGAUGGAAAGACUAAAGUGAGGGAGGCCAUUGGAGGCCUGGGGGUGGUGAGAAAUCAUCACUGAUAGCCGUAGAUGAGCGUAAGUAAGGUUUGGUUAAGAUUAGGUCUGAGCGAGUUUGAGAGAAAAGAGGUGUUUCAGGGUGGUGGGUGGUGUAGAAUGAUAGGGUUUAGGGGUGGGUCUUUUGGUUUAUUUUAGGAAGGGUCGUUUGUGGCUGAUGAUCAUAGGGUAUUGGGGCCGGAUCGGGUCUUCAGGGUUUAGGCUGGGUAGUUUUAAUUAAAAAUUAGCCUGGUUUUGAGGUUGGAUUGGGGCUGAAACUGAAAUGAAAUUAGGCGAGAUUUUAAAUAGGCAUU
rnacentral:lncRNA from 1 species